rnacentral:rRNA from 1 species
GUAGGUGGCAAGCGUUGUCCGGAAUUAUUGGGCGUAAAGCGCGCGCAGGCGGUUCUUUAAGUCUGAUGUGAAAGCCCACGGCUCAACCGUGGAGGGUCAUUGGAAACUGGAGAACUUGAGUACAGAAGAGGAAAGCGGAAUUCCACGUGUAGCGGUGAAAUGCGUAGAGAUGUGGAGGAACACCAGUGGCGAAGGCGGCUUUCUGGUCUGUAACUGACGCUGAGGCGCGAAAGCGUGGGGAGCAAACAGGGAUUAGAUACCCUGGUAGUCCACGCCGUAAACGAUGAGUGCUAAGUGUUAGGGGGGUUUCCGCCCCCCCUAGUGCUGCAGCUAACGCAUUAGGCACUCCGCCUGGGGAGUACGGCCGCAAGGCUG